rnacentral:lncRNA from 1 species
CGGCCAUUCCCAUUUCCCUCUUAGUUCCUCCAUUUCCUCCUUCGCAGAAUCGCAGCCAGCCACCGCCGUCGCCUCCCAUAGUCCCAUUCCCCUCAAUUCUAAUCAGUAAUCAGUCUCAGUCACUCGAAAUCUCUAAAUUCAUUUUUCCCCUCCUUUCAAACUUCAACUGGUACUAAAUGAAAUUCAUGCUCUCUCUCUCUUUCUUUUUCCCCUCUCCUGCUAAUUUGCUUGCAUUUACGUUCUUAGAUGACUGAAAUUUUGGUUGCGUUGGAAAUUUUAUGGUCCACUUCAAUCUCAUAGUUGAAAGAGGAUGAAACUUUUUGUGUGUGCUUGUAAUCUGUUUGUGAAAAUGCGUGAAUGAAAUGGAGGUAUCAGUUAAGGCUUUAUUCAGAUUAAAAAUCUAUAUCUUGUUUCACAUAUAUCGUAAAGAUAUGGUAUUACUCUACCUCCAUUUACCUUUUUAGGAAUUAUGGCCUAUGAAUGUGUUAGCAGACGUUUUGGAGCAUCUUGAUAAGAGUAGUGUUUUCUGUAUGCAGUGGUUUUCUUCAGCUGAUUGAUGGACUAAAGUCUUAAAACUUUUGGGCUAUUAGAG